rnacentral:rRNA from 1 species
AUUGAACGCUAGCGGGAUGCUUUACACAUGCAAGUCGAACGGCAGCGCGGACUUCGGUCUGGCGGCGAGUGGCGAACGGGUGAGUAAUGUAUCGGAACGUGCCCAGUAGCGUGUGAUAACUACGCGAAAGCGUAGCUAAUACCGCAUACGCCCUACGGGGGAAAGCAGGGGAUCGUAAGACCUUGCACUAUUGCAGCGGCCGAUAUCGGAUUAGCUAGUUGGUGAGGUAACGGCGCACCAAGGCGACGAUCCGUAGCUGGUUUGAGAGGACGACCAGCCACACUGGGACUGAGACACGGCCCAGACUCCUACGGGAGGCAGCAGUGGGGAAUUUUGGACAAUGGGGGCAACCCUGAUCCAGCCAUACCGCGUGUGCGAUGAAGGCCUUCGGGUUGUAAAGCACUUUUGGCAGGAAAGAAACGUCGCGGGCUAAUACCCCGUGGAACUGACGGUACCUGCAGAAUAAGCACCGGCUAACUACGUG